CAAUCUUACGAUUCACCACUGCCAUCUUGGUGUAGAGUGCAUCAUACAUGAAAUUGAGCUCAACUUCUAUCACUCGAAAAGCCUUUUCUGGCAACAUUCCAAAGAAGAAUUUUCGACUGUCAUUGCGCUCUUGGAAGCUAAACAUGAGGUCAACAAUGAGUCCCUUGAAAAUUUUAAAAAACUUGUACCCACUUUCCAUUUCUGAGAUGUGAUUAGGUCCAGUAGAUGGUUCUUCUGGAACUGAGGAAGCAGAAGUGCUGGCUCUUUUCUCUGGUGCUAUUAUAAUUUUUACUGGAACAUGGGCCUCUUUCUUUGAGGAGUAUUCCUCCAUAAGUUGAGCAUAGUUUGGUCCAGCGUCUGGAGGUGGAAGCAUAGACUCCUUGAAAUUACCCAAGCAAGCUAGAUACAAAGCACGCGUCCGCUCAGCAUAUUUAAUAGUUCCAGCAACCAACAUGAGGAUUGUCGGGAUCCAUAGGUCAUUCGAGAUCGACUCUAAGAAGACAUAAGCUACAGCAAUAAACUGGAUGACAAGGCCCAGCAAAUGCCGAAGCCAAAGUUCAUUAUCUUCAAGAGCGAAAGCAGUGAUGGUAUCCGGGCCACCAAGGUGUAGCAAAAGAAAAGGAGCCCAGAAAGCCAGAAGGUCGUCAUUUUGAACUUGUUUGUCACCGUCCUUGUUGCCGUUGGCAAUGAGGCCAACAGCAAAGGCAGCAACCCAGUCAGCAAGCAAGUAUACUGACCAGAUAAUGAAAGUCAUAAUCAUGUUUCCUGUUCGUUUUCGUGACGAUGCACAGAAAAUUAACAAUAUCUGGAAGAAAAGGCUAACAAGAACAGCACCACGGAGAUUCCAUUCAUCCCAAAUCUCCUUGAGGAAUAGGGGAAAUAUGUUCAUGCCUGCUUAUGUUUCUUUCUUCUCUCCUAUUCUGUCAGAUUCUGAUUAGGUUUCAAAAUUAGUGCAAAUCACACACUCAACUGAAAAGAACUAAGAAGAUUCUGCAUUCUAAAUCAGAUUAUCAGAAUCCCCAAAUAUUACAGCAUCUUAUCCACACUUCCUCUGUUCAAGGUAGUGAAUUCUUUUAGAAAAACUUAUCCCAAAAUUCCAAUCACUUGAUUGCAUUUUGAGAUAUGCUUGAAAUGAUCCCAUUUUCCUCUGAUGGCAUUCAAAUGAGUUCAUCAUCUACAUCAACCCCCCCUUCAAUACGAAAAGAGUAUUUCAACUUUCAUUCUUAGCUUUGGUGGGUAGCUGACAUGCCAUAACUCAAAUUUACAUGCAAGUAUGCAACCCAUCAUCAAGUCUACAAGCAGAAGAAAAAAGAAAAAGGAAAAAGGAAAAAGGAAAAAAGAAAAUUCCUACACUAUGACUAAAAGCACUACAAGAUUACUGUUGGGCGAAAGGGGAAGCAAACAGACCUUCCAUUAUUCAGAACAAACAAGGCAUCAACUAAGGGGAGGAAAUUAAGAACACAGUUUGGAAAAGUAAAGGAGAGCAUGGAAAUUAUGAGUAAAAAAAGACAAAAUAAAAAAUAAAAAAGAGGAAAAUACCUCCUUAAACCCAAGAUCUGCAAUUUAACUCUCUUGUUCUCGGUUCUUCAGAAAUGGGGUUUCUCAGAUGAACUCACAGAGAUCCCAAGAGCAGAAAGAGAGAGAGACAGACUGACCAUUUUGUGUCGUGGACUUAAAAGACUCUGCUUGACUUGGAAUCUUUCUAUCUACCUUUUCAAUGAGAAGACGAAGACCAAAAAUAAACGACGCCGUUUUUACAAAUUUCUCCUCUAAACGCACCGUUUUGUUGCUAGGCGAAAACAUGUUGGUUGGCUGCGAAACGGUCACUCGUUUCAAACUCUUCAAAGUUCGGAUUUAAAUAUUGGGGGCAUGUUUGGAAUGUUUUCAAAAAUAGUCUCUGAUGAUUUUUUAAAACAAAAUUCUAUUGGCAGGGUAAUGUUUUUUAUUUUUUUAAAAUAAUUUUUUUCUGUACUAUUUUAUUUUCAAUGAUUCUUUACAUAGAGAUAAUUAUUGUUUUAAAACAACCCAAAAAAUAAAUAAAAAUAAUUAAGACAUAUUCUUAAAAAAAUCAAAUGUUUAGAAAAAGUUCUCAAAAAAAAUUAUUUUUUUAAUAAAAACAAUAAUUAUUCUAAACAACAACACAACACCAUGAAGCAGUAGAAGCAAUCGACAUUUUCGCAUGCAUGUAUAUGAGUGUUCAUGUGAGACGCAUAAAGGUCAGUACUCUAUAAUCAAACUAUCAAGGCAUUGAGAAAAAGAAAAACAUGAGAUUAGAGGAAGCAGACAAACAACUUCCUCAGUGAUUCACUCGAUAAUUGUCCAACUCAAAAUCUUCAGAGAAGAUUACAAAGGGAUAACACCUCAAUGGAACCCAAUAAACUGAAACUCAUUGCCCAUGGAUAAUACAGAAGCCAUGUUUAUUCUCACACUCCAUGGAGUCGUCCUCAUUGGUUGGUUUGAAGACUUCCUUUACUUGGUUACAAUUAGCUUUGCUCUAGCAUGGCCCUCCUGAAUUCGGAACUGUUCCCCCAAGCCAAAAUGGGCCAUUAGUAACCAAACAAAAGUAAUAAGCUCUCCACCCUUGCUGAGCUGCUGGGCAUGGGUAUUUGCUCUGCAAUGACUUGCAGCGUAAGACAACAAUUCCACCCAGACUUUGCUCAUUAUCAUCCACCUCUUCGUUUUGUUCAAUUUUCUGAGAUCUUUUGCAAGCAUACACGCAUCAAACAAGACUGAUUUGCUUCUAUCUCCUUUAACUUCAAUGGGUUUAACAACGGUAUCUACUGAAAGUAGCUGUUCACAGUACUCUGAUAUCUGAUCUUCCAUUGAUUUUGAUUGUCCUAUGUGAAGAAGCUUCUUAAUUUGCUUGCAGAACUUCUUAAAACAGUUGGGUUCUUGUUGUCCUCUGCGAAAAAACUUCUUUGCUUCCGCACAGGUGUCUCGAAACCUAAUUUGCCCGAUACCUGCCACAGCAGACAUCAUUGUGGGCCUCAUGACCAGAAGAUAUAACAUGUAUUCUGACAGGCAGAUACACAACUGACGAUCACGAUCAUGAUCAAGACGACGAAGUUCUUCUUCUUUUACAUCAUCAGGUUUUUCUUUUUCCUCUUGCUUAUCUUUGUAAUAGCAGAGGUCAGUAGCAAUAUGCCACAUUAAAAGGCAUUCAUCGUAUUCUUUCUCAACACUCCAUAGAAGGGAGUGGCAAGCAUUCUGUGACAGAAUCCAAUCGCCCCUUCCUGAACAUAUCUCCUUGGCAAUUCUUGACUUCUCUGCCCUUCUAGCCUUCUCCUCUGCACUUUUAGCCUUCUCCUCUAGCUGCUCUGAACUUUUAGCCUUCUCCUUUAGCUCUUCGAAGAUGAAUUCCUUUAGGUUUUCCUCGACAGUCACAGUUUUCUUGUACUGAAUCUCAUCCAGAAGAUCCUUAAGUCCGAGAAUGUCUGCUAAUUUGUCGAACCAUUUGAACCUUUCCCUCAGGCAGUAACGUAUCAAACCAUGCUGUGAGAUAGAAUUAGACCACCUUCUGUCCAAAAAAGAUUUAGAUGUCUCCCAUAGUUUGCAAAAAAAGAGUUUUUCACGUGCAUAAUAGAUCCGUUCUUUUGCAGUAGAAUUUUUCAGUAAAACUAUAGUCCAGUCAGAGAAAAUGAGCUUGACGAUAGCUAUAACAUCCAGGCUGAUUGCACCAAUAAGCAAAGCAUAAGUAACACCUAUGUCGAACUUGUGAAUUUUGUGCUUAUGAUGAGAUGAAAAGAGCUGCAAGGCAACUGCUAUGCAUCCUGUGCAAAUGAAACGGAGAAAGUAGCCAAUCUUACGAUUCACCACUACCAUCUUGGUGUAGAGUGCAUCAUACAUGAAAUUGAGCUCAACUUCUAUCACUCGAAAAGCCUUUUCUGGCAACAUUCCAAAGAAGAAUUUUCGACUGUCAUUGCGCUCUUGGAAGCUAAACAUGAGGUCAACAAUGAGUCCCUUGAAAAUUUUAAAAAACUUGUACCCACUUUCCAUUUCUGAGAUGUGAUUAGGUCCAGUAGAUGGUUCUUCUGGAACUGAGGAAGCAGAAGUGCUGACUCUUUUCUCUGGUGCUAUUAUAAUUUUUACCGGAACAUGGGCCUCUUUCUUUGAGGAGUAUUCCUCCAUAAGU
rnacentral:lncRNA from 1 species